UUUCCUUCACCUGGAGAAGGAUGGGAAGGAGUCAGCACUUGACAUCUGCCACCCCACCCCAGAAUCAGUGCCACCCUUCACCGGCCCACCCAAACCUGGUCUCGUAUAUCAUCCCGCAGCUCCACCAGGAUCUGGUUGAAGAGGAACUCAGAGGCUCCUCCCGGCUCACCUGCAUCCUCAAAUAUGCCUUCUGUCCAGUCCUAAUCUCCAGCCCAUCGACCUCUGCUGGAGGAAUGGGGGCCAGUGCUGGAAGGCCUGCAUGUUGGUCACCCAGUUUGCAGUCCACAUAGAGAUGCAGAGCAGGGCUGGGUCUGGAGGGACCUCGGAGUCGCAGGAGAACUGUGUGUGUGCGACCAUCGGCCAGGCCUGCUUGCUGUAGGUUCACGGCGUGGACUUUGCCAUCCUCCCGCUGGUAUCGCACCAGUACUGCCCAGGAGGGGAGAUCAGUAUGGGUGCUAUCCCCUUCCCCCUGCCUCCCAGCUGAGCCUUGGAUCAACUCUGCUGGAUACCACAUCUCUAGGGCCCCCAUCCCUAAUUCUACUAUGUAGCUGUCAACACUUUGUAUGUAAUAGGUACACAAUAAAUGUUUUUGAAAUUGGUUUA